UCCCUGGUAGCUCAGCUGGUAAAGAAUCCACCUGCAAUGUGGGAGACCUGGGUUCGAUUCCUGGGUUGGGAA
rnacentral:tRNA from 1 species